UAGCUAUUGGGUGUUAACGUUUGUAAAUUAAACGCGAUUUGUAGCUAACAAUUAAACUUUUUAUUUAACUCAAAUUACAAACACGCGGAAUUGAAAUUAUGACUGUAGAUUGAGCGAGAGGAUCUGACAGUUGACGGAUAUGUCUAUGACAACUUAUGACAGCAUUGUCACACCCCUACAUCACUCUCACCCGAGUGACAUUGCCGUCACGAUGACUUUUCGCUGGAGGAUAAGUGUGCUUCGGUGGCGGUCUGGAAUACAAAUAUGUUCGUUUAAGAUCCUGGUGAGUUUUAUUUUCGUCAUUCAGGAAGAAGGCUGGCUUUAGUCGUUCUGUUGAGACGUUGAAGUUCUUUCCAUUAACUUCAAUUCGAAAUAGACGAUUGGUGAUUCGUUCGAUAACAGGAUGCGGACCUGAGUAAGGUGGCGAUAAUGAUAUACGAACUCGAUCAUCUCGUAGAAAUACGUGUGUGGCAGAACUUAAGUUUCGGUGUACGAAUUCGACAGUUGAUUCACGAAUUGAGCUGGAUUAUCGUCAACAGUUUGAUCAUCGAAAAAUUCACCUGGCAGUCGUACAGUGGAUCCAUACAUGAGCUCGGCACAUGAUGCGUUUAAAUCAUCCUUGUAACACGAUCGUAGUCCAAGUAGAAUGGUUGGGAACGAUGCCAUCUCUCAAGAAUGCCGUUGGAAGCUGGAUGGUAUGCCGAGGUUCUUGUUCGUUCGCAACCGAUUAGUUUCGCGAGUGAUUGGAAUAGUGCCGAUUCAAACUGGGAUCCUUGAUCCGUUGUAAUUAUUCGUGGCACUCCGAAUCUGGCUAUCCAAUUGUUGUAAAAAGUUUCGGCGACUGUAUUCGCUGUCUGGUCGCUUAUCGGUAUUGCCUCCGGCCAACGAGAGAAUCGAUCUAUCAUCGUCAAACAAUAUUUGAAACCUUUCGAGAGUGGGAACGGGCCAACUAUGUCGAUGUGUACCUGAUCGAAUCGACCAUCGGGAAUGGUGAUAUGCUGAGGAACGUUCUUCGUGUGUCUGCUUACCUUCGAACGUUGACACGGUAUGCAUGUUCGGCACCAUAACAGGAUGUCUUUACGCAUAUUCGGCCAGACGAAUUUGUUGCAAAUUUGUCGCGAUGUGGAACGUCCGCUUGGAUGAGCGAGCUGGUGAAUAGUGUCGAAUACUUUUCGUCGAAGUUGGGUAGGGAUGUAAGGUCGGACUUUACUGUCGGUUACAUCACAAUAAACUGGAAGUUGUCCUGCAGUCUGUAUUGCUUGUAGUUUUAAUGAAGUUGUGUUGCUAUUUAGUAAGGCUUGAAGUUCUUGAUCUUGUUGCUGUUCAUGCGAUAGUUUGUCUGCGGUGAACGAAGAUGGUAUGGAAAUGGCGUCAACUCGUGAUAGUAAGUCGGCGACUAUGUUGCUCUUUCCUGGUAUGUGGCUGAUAUGCGUU